CCCCCAUCCCCCGACCCAGCCCCUCAAAGUAAUAGUUCCCUUGUAUUUUAUGAUGAUAAGAAGAAAACUGCUUUCAAAAAGUGCCUGCUCCUUGCAAAACUGAUACAGAUAAACAGAAACCAAUGGCAGCAGUACUGCUUAAAAUUGCCUAAGCGGGAAGCAAAAAGGGAAGUAAUCAUAAAGACAGCAAACCUGGGUGCCUCCUGGGAUUCAAGAGCAGGACCCGGACAAAAUCUCUGGAAGGACUGAGUUGGUGAUUCAUCAGGAAGCAGGUGCCUUUGGAACAUCCAUGUGUCAACAUAAAGUUUGCUGUUGUAAAUGUUUGUCUGAAACUGAAGCUGUUGUAAAUGUUUGUCUGAAACUCAUGAAAGAGGUGCAAAAAAGGUGGUUUUAUUAAAGCAUGAAGACAAGAUCCAUGGGCAGAAAGAGCUGCUAAACCAAACAUAUUUUGCAGUUACAGAAACUGAAGAAUGCUUCAGAUAAGUAAGCUGAGGUAUUUUUUGUUUUGGUUUGGUUUAUAUUUUUUUCUUAUUCUCUAGGAAGAUUCUUUUACUUUAUUAGUCUCUGAAUGGUACAUAUUAUAUUUUCAAAGGGGUUAUUUUAGAGUCUGUUCAGAGCCAGUGAUCAAAGACAAUGUGGUUGUGGUUUAUGAGGUAUGGGAAGAGAUGCUGUGUUAGUGGGUUUCCAAUGGCUACUGAGUGGAACAUCCUUAAAGAAUUGAUAAAGCCACUCACUGUCCUUUUAGCAGUUGUCAGCACCAUAACAGGUAUGGAGAAAGGGAAAACCAACAGAAAGCUGCUACCAACCUGGGUGUGGCUCAGUCCAGAAUUGUGCAUUGUUUUGAGUGCUUGUCUUUAGGAAUAUCAAG